ensembl:snRNA U6 U6 spliceosomal RNA
GUGCUUGCUUCGGCAGCACAUAUACUAAAAUCGGAAUGGUCCAGAGAAGAUUGGCAUGGCCCCUGCACAAGGAUGACAUGCAAAUUCGUGAAGGGUUCCAUGUUUUU